rnacentral:rRNA from 1 species
UACGUAGGUGGCAAGCGUUGUCCGGAAUUACUGGGUGUAAAGCGCGUGUAGGCGGGAGGCCAAGUCUGCUGUGAAAUCGCCCGGCUCAACUGGGCGGGGUCGGUGGAAACUGGUCACCUGGAGGACGGUAGAGGCGAGUGGAAUUCCCGGUGUAGUGGUGAAAUGCGUAGAGAUCGGGAGGAACACCAGUGGCGAAGGCGGCUCGCUGGGCCGGACCUGACGCUGAGACGCGAAAGCUAGGGGAGCGAACGGG